AUGGAGCCGGCGGCGGACGGCUCGCGGAAGCCGGACCCCCGCUUCCGGCUGCCCUCCUUCUUCCCUCGGCCCUCGCGAUCAGGCACGUCCAGGAUCCGCGCACCGCUCGCCCCGGAACCCGACCCCAGGCUGGCUCCCAGCCCCCCGCCCGAGGCCCGAAGCAGUUCCUGGAUGCAGCUGCUUUCCCAGCUCCUCGCGCCGCUCCCGGGCUUGCUUCAGAAGCUGCUGGUCUGGAGCCAGCUUUUCGGUGGGAUGAUCCCUACCAGAUGGCUAGACUUUGCUGGAGGCUACAGCCUCCUGAGGGCCCGGGAGGAGCCUGCCGCCCCCUCGGCGCCCAAAGCUCUGAGUUCGCUGCGGCUCGACCCCUCGGCCGACGCGGCCGCCGGUCCCCUUGACUGGCUAGAGGGGGGCCUCCACUGGCAGUGCUCGCCCCCAGAUCUGGAAUUAGAACUUAAAACCAAGGGAAGAGCUUUGGACUCCGCAGCCCAUGCUUUUCUUCUGGAGCAGCCGCUGUGGGGAGUGGAGCUGGUGCCCCGGAGCGUCCAAGCGCGUCUCUUUUCUGACCCGGAGCUUGGCCCUUCGCCCUCUGGACCGCUCAACGUUCAGCGCUUAAGCAAUGUCAGUGUCGUCUCCUAUUUGCUGAACCCCUCCUAUCUGGACUGCCUGCCCCGGGUUGAGCUGAGCUAUCAGAGCAGUGUUGGAAGCUGCGAACUGGUCGAUUUCCAGGCGCUGAGUCCAGAGAGCGGCUGCCUGGAUGAGGCCUCGUCUUAUCCCCAGCCGCUCAACGCAGAGAUGGCUCCCGCCUCGUGGCAGGGAUGUCCGCCUCUUUCUAGAGAAGGCCUGCCCGAAAUCCACCAUCUCCGCAUGAAGCGGCUGGAAUUCCUUCAGCAGGCCAGCAAGGGUCAGGCUUUACCCACCCCUGACCAAGAUCAUGGCUACCACAGCCUAGAGGAGGAGCACAGCCUGCUCCGGAUGGAGCCGAAGCACUUCGGAGAUAGUCCGACUCAGUGUGUUCCUGCUGCUGGAGCCGUUCCCGGAACCGCCCAGGAACCCACUGAGGAGAAAACAGAAUUGUUGAUUAGAGAAGUUCCUUUUGGAUUGGAAAGACAGAGCCCCUCGGGAGGCAUUCCGUCUUGUGAGACUGGACAGGAGCUUGGAGAGGACCAAAUAAGUGUAGUUGACCCUCCAGACAUAGACGAUGACCUUCCCAUUUCUGCCAGACCAGCCUGUAGUAACAAGUUGAUAGAUUACAUUUUGGGAGGUGCAGCCAGUGACCUGGAAACAAGUUCUGAUUCGGAAGAUGAGGAUUGGGACGAAGACGUUGAGGAUGACGGUUUUGAUAGUGAUAGCUCAUUCUCAGAAUCAGACCUUGAGCAAGACUCAGAAGGGCUCCACCUUUGGAACUCUUUCUAUAGUGUGGAUCCUUAUAAUCCCCAAAACUUUACAGCAACAAUUCAGACUGCUGCCAGAAUUCUUCCGGGAAACCCUUCUGAUUCAGAAAAGGAUUUGUCUGACAAGUCUGACCUAGGGAAUUCUCCCCACACUGGAAGUCUUCCCGAGUCUCCUGAUCAUAAUUCUGGAGAUGAUGAUGACUGGGAAUCUAGUGCAGAUGAAGCAGAGAGUCUCAAACUGUGGAAUUCUUUUUGUAAUUCUGACGACCCCUACAACCUUCUAAAUUUUAAGGCUCCUUUUCAAACAGGGAAAAAUUGGAAAAGCUGUCUUGACUCAGAGAGGCCAUCUGAGCCCAUUUCUGAGUGUCACACCUUACUUUCCUGUAAGGGGCAGCUGUUAGGGAGCCGGGAAAGUAAAUGUCCAGACUUGGUACAGGGUGUGUUUCUUUCUCGAGAAAGACACACACAUAUCCGGAGAAAAAAGGUAACCUUCCUUGAAGAAGUUACUGAGUAUUAUAUAAGCGGUGAUGAGGAUCGAAAAGGACCAUGGGAAGAAUUUGCACGGGAUGGGUGCAGGUUCCAGAAACGAAUUCAAGAAACAGAAGAAGCUAUUGGAUACUGCUUGACAUUUGAGCACAGAGAAAAGAUGUUUAAUAGACUCCAGCAAACAUGUUUCAAAGGACUUAAUGUUUUCGAGCAAUAUUAAGAUGAUUUGACAGCCUCUGGCCCUAGCAUACACUACCUCUUACUUGAGAGGUUACUUUUAAAAACAAAAGUAGGCAGCUGUCCUUCAACUUUUUCUUAGAGGAUGUGCAGCUUGGAUCCAGUGACCUAGUUUAAUAUUUUUUUGCAACAUAGCCCACUCAGAUAUGUCCAGGUUUGAAGCCAGGCCCUGAAAAUGAAGGAUGAGAUGGUGUGAUUUCUAAUCCUCCCUUUUUU
rnacentral:lncRNA from 1 species